GGCGGGGGUGGGGGUUUCCUCAGGCACUGUUGUCACCAGCUCUUCGGCUCUGGCAGUGGUGGCCCCAGCUCUUGUCCUCUACCUCGUCCACGACGCAGGCCCAGGGGAGGUGGUGGCGGGAAUGGCAUGGCCCUUCUGGGGGGCUCGUCCAGGUUUUGCAGGAAGGCGUGGUCAGACAAGGCUGGGGGCGGGUGCUGGCAGGAGGUGCUCUCUGCGGCAGUGCAUGCCCUGGAGUGGGACUUGGGCUGGCAGAGUUCCCUAGGCCAUCUUUGGCUGCGGGAGGUUUGUGGCUGAAGUCUGGCUUUCCCCCAACGCCUUCAGCUGUCCUGUGCACCCACCCUGGGCAACAGCUAGAGAGUGCUGGAGACGGCCUCAACAGGGCCUUGUGGGAGGGCUUCCCUGGGGACCCUGGCCUUCCCAGCUCUGCAGUUACAGCUGCGGGAGUGUGGGGCUGGGCAGGCAGCAGGAGCUGCCUGGGCGCUGCCUUUAGGGCUGGCACUGACCGCUGGUGAGGAGACAGCAGCUCCCUUCUCAAGGUGGCUUCCGGCUACAGCACCCUGGGGGUUUGUGAGGCGAUGACUUAGGCAACUUCUCAGAUGUCAGGUUGCUUAUUUAAGUGGGCUCCUGGCCUGUGAGGGCUCUGACAUUUCCGGUAGCAAGGCGGUCAGCACCCGUGCUGGGGGAGUUUGCCUGGACUCUUUCCUCUUUACCCUGGCAGAGGGGAGUCGCCCGCCCCGUGUGAAGUUACAGAGGGCAGAUGGAAGGAUAUUUUGUGUCUGUGCUGUUGGCUGCAUCUUUGAAUCUUUCAAGUUGCUAAUCUCUUGCUGAUUUCCAGAGUUCUCUCAGGAUCAUUCACCUCAAAAUGCAGCUAUGCAUUUGUUCCUUUUCCUUUCCUACUUCUUCCUGCCCUCCCCUCCCCUUGCAUCCUGUCCCCUCCCUCCCCUCCCCUCCCCUCCCCUCCUCUCCCUUCUCUUUUUAAUUUUUUUUUCCUUUCUUUUCCUUCCCUUCCUUUUCUUCCUUUUUUGUAGCACUGGGGAUUUAACCCAGAACCUUUACACUGAGCUACAUCCCAGCUCUUUUUUACUUUUUAUUUUGAGACAGGGUCUUGGUAAGACACUAAAUUCCCCAAACUGGCUCAAACUUGUCGUCUUCCUGUUUCAGCCUCCCCGAGCUCUGGGAUUACAGGCUUGCAUCAACACCCCUGGCUACUUUCAUAUUCUCUGUGGAGGAGGAGGAAUCGAACCCAUGACCUCACACUUGUGAGGCAGGCGCUGUGCCACUGAGCUAUAUCCCUGGCCCCCGCACUUGGUUUUCAAGAACUGUAUGUAAUAAAAAUACCUAAGCCUGAGUAACCAGUGUUUGUCCAUUGUUCUUGCAAUGAAAAAUGAUCCAGAAAAAGGAGCUGCUAUUUCUCAUGACUCAAUCUAUCACAGUACUUGCUUUCCUCUCACACUUGU
rnacentral:lncRNA from 1 species